CAGGUUCUCAGCAUCCAGAUCACGCUUAGAUCGAUUCCCGAUCUUCAGUUCAGCAACAUCAGUGGUGAGUCCUCAUUCUUCGAGGACUAGUGACAUGUUUAUCUUUAUCGCUUUUAGUCUUUAGUUUCAGUUUUGCUAGAUCUAGUUGGGGCAUGUCCCAACAUUUCUAGUCAGUUUAGAGGCUUAUUUCAGACAUAGUUAGAUUCAGC
rnacentral:lncRNA from 1 species